CAGGUGGUCAGGUAGAGAAUACUCAGGCGCUUGAGAGAACUCGGGUGAAGGAACUAGGCAAAAUGGUGCCGUAACUUCGGGAGAAGGCACGCUGGCGCUAGGUGAAGUGGUUUACCCAUGGAGCUGAAGCCAGUCGCAGAUACCAGCUGGCUGCAACUGUUUAUUAAAAACACAGCACUGUGCAAACACGAAAGUGGACGUAUACGGUGUGACGCCUGCCCGGUGCUGGAAGGUUAAUUGAUGGGGUUAUCCGUAAGGAGAAGCUCUUGAUCGAAGCCCCAGUAAACGGCGGCCGUAACUAUAACGGUCCUAAGGUAGCGAAAUUCCUUGUCGGGUAAGUUCCGACCUGCACGAAUGGCGUAAUGAUGGCCAGGCUGUCUCCACCCGAGACUCAGUGAAAUUGAACUCGCUGUGAAGAUGCAGUGUACCCGCGGCAAGACGGAAAGACCCCGUGAACCUUUACUAUAGCUUGACACUGAACAUUGAGCCUUGAUGUGUAGGAUAGGUGGGAGGCUUUGAAGUGUGGACGCCAGUCUGCAUGGAGCCAACCUUGAAAUACCACCCUUUAAUGUUUGAUGUUCUAACGUUGCCCCGUUAUCCGGGGUGCGGACAGUGUCUGGUGGGUAGUUUGACUGGGGCGGUCUCCUCCCAAAGAGUAACGGAGGAGCACGAAGGUUGGCUAAGCAUGGUCGGACAUCAUGCGGUUAGUGCAAAGGCAUAAGCCAGCUUGACUGCGAGAGUGACGGCUCGAGCAGGUACGAAAGUAGGUCUUAGUGAUCCGGUGGUUCUGAAUGGAAGGGCCAUCGCUCAACGGAUAAAAGGUACUCCGGGGAUAACAGGCUGAUACCGCCCAAGAGUUCAUAUCGACGGCGGUGUUUGGCACCUCGAUGUCGGCUCAUCACAUCCUGGGGCUGAAGUAGGUCCCAAGGGUACGGCUGUUCGCCGUUUAAAGUGGUACGCGAGCUGGGUUUAGAACGUCGUGAGACAGUUCGGUCCCUAUCUGCCGUGGGCGUUGGAAGAUUGAAAGGGGCUGCUCCUAGUACGAGAGGACCGGAGUGGACGCACCACUGGUGUUCGGGUUGUCAUGCCAAUGGCAUUGCCCGGUAGCUAAGUGCGGAAGAGAUAACCGCUGAAAGCAUCUAAGCGGGAAACUUGCCUUGA
rnacentral:rRNA from 1 species